CUUCAUUUUUCCUUCAAAUUUAGUGUCUUCUCAUGCACAGGUUUUCUCAGAUUUCUUUUGUGAGGAAGCAAGUCUGGAGCUCUGAUUUUGCUGGGCAUAAUAUAGAAAGAAGAAGAGAGGAACAGGGGACCUCUUCCAUGAUGGGGAAACCUAAUUUUUGUCUCGGUCCUUUAAUUGAGUUGAUGUUGGCUGGAUGGAGGAGCUUGAUCUUAUGGUCAGAUGGAGGAAGAGACAGGAGACAAAACCAGAAGGGAACAUUCAGAAAAGAGAAGUGAUCUGAGACAGCCACACUGCCAUGACAGAUGGGAUGGAUGGACAGAGGAACAGUGAAGAAUCUAGAAACAUCACACAUCAGGUAAGGCAGUUCUUCUGCUUUGGUGAAAGCUCUUAAAUAAUCUAAAUAGACUAUUCAAAAUAUCUUUAAGAUUAU
rnacentral:lncRNA from 1 species